AAAAAGGUACUCAAGGGCACACAACGGAUGCCUAGACGUAUAUUACCGAUGAAGGACGUGGAAGACUGCGAUAAGCUUCGGGUAGCUGUCAACAAGCGCCAAUCCGAAGAUCUCCGAAUGGGGAAACCCGGCACGAGUCAUGUCGUGUCACCUGCUUCUGAAUAAAAUAGGAAGUUUGGCGGGAACCACCUGAACUGAAACAUCUUAGUAGGGUGAGGAAGAGAAAAUAAAAAAUGAUUCCGGAAGUAGUGGCGAGCGAAACUGGAAUAGCCCAAACCUUUUAAGUUUCUAUUUAUAGAUAAGCUGAUAGGCGAAUACUUAUAAGGGGUUGUGAAAUUACAUACGACCAAGUCAGAGCGUUUAAAGCAAUUUAAACUAUCUGAUUUGCGACCAAAAUCUAUCAAUUUUGGAUAAGGUAAGAAAACUGCGUGGUUAGCAGAAUAGUUUGAAUGACUAACCAAAGGACGUGAAAGUCGUGUACGCGAAAACGACGCAGACCUUAUAUAUGUUUUUUCGAGUAGGGCGGGGCACGAGAAACCCUGUCUGAAUCCGGCUGGACCACCAGCCAAGGCUAAAUAUAAUAUACGAUCGAUAGUGAACUAGUACAGCGAUGGAAAGGUGA
rnacentral:rRNA from 1 species